UACGUACGAGGCGAGCGUUAUCCGGAAUUACUGGGCGUAAAGCGCGCGCAGGUGGUUCGUUAAGUAGGGCGUGAAAUCUCCCGGCCUAACUGGGAGGGGUCGCCCCUAGACUGGCGGACUUGAGGCUGGCAGAGGUAGGUGGAAUUCCUGGUGUAGUGGUGAAAUGCGUAGAGAUCAGGAGGAACACCGGUGGCGAAGGCGGCCUACUGGGCCAGCACUGACGCUGAGGCGCGAAAGCUCGGGGAGCGAACGGG
rnacentral:rRNA from 1 species